UACAGAGGGUGCGAGCGUUGUUCGGAAUUAUUGGGCGUAAAGGGCGCGUAGGCGGUGCGGUAAGUCACCUGUGAAAUCUCCUGGCUCAACUGGGAGCUUGCAGGCGAAACUGCCGUGCUGGAGUGUGGGAGAGGUGCGUGGAAUUCCCGGUGUAGCGGUGAAAUGCGCAGAUAUCGGGAGGACACCAAUUGCGAAGGCAGCUCGCUGGGACGUCGACUGACGCUGAGACGCGAAAGCGUGGG
rnacentral:rRNA from 1 species